rnacentral:rRNA from 1 species
UACGAAGGGUGCAAGCGUUAAUCGGAAUUACUGGGCGUAAAGCGUGCGUAGGCGGUUUGUUAAGUCUGUUGUGAAAUCCCCGGGCUCAACCUGGGAAUGGCAAUGGAUACUGGCAAGCUAGAGCGUGUCAGAGGAUGGUGGAAUUCCCGGUGUAGCGGUGAAAUGCGUAGAGAUCGGGAGGAACAUCAGUGGCGAAGGCGGCCAUCUGGGACAACACUGACGCUGAGGCACGAAAGCGUGGGGAGCAAACAGG